GACGAACGCUGGCGGCGUGCUUAACACAUGCAAGUCGAACGGGCCUGCCUGGCUUUGGUUGGGUGGGUGAGUGGCGAACGGGUGAGUAACACGUGAGUAACCUGCCCUCUUCUCUUGGAUAACUGCUUGAAAGGGCGGCUAAUACGGGAUGUUCUGGCUGCCUCGCAUGGGGUGGUUUGGAAAGAUUCGGCCUGGUUUUGGUUGUUUUGGUGGGGGAUGGGCUCGCGGCUUAUCAGCUUGUUGGUGGGGUGAUGGCCUACCAAGGCGGUGACGGGUAGCCGGCCUGAGAGGGUGGACGGUCACACUGGGACUGAGACACGGCCCAGACUCCUGCGGGAGGCAGCAGUGGGGGAUUUUGCACAAUGGGCGCAAGCCUGAUGCAGCGACGCCGCGUGAGGGAUGGAGGCCUUCGGGUUGUGAACCUCUGUCGCCGGUGAUGUAGGCUCUGCUUUGUGGGUGGGG
rnacentral:rRNA from 1 species